rnacentral:lncRNA from 1 species
UGUUUUUGGAAAGAUUAGAACUUGUUCUAAAUCUUUACUUAGGCACCACCCUCCCUAACAACAGGACAGGUUAGCUACUGUUACUAAAUGUAUUCACACUAAAAUAUAGUUCCCUAUAGUUCUCAUGUAUGUGCACAUAAUACACAAAUAAACUGAAAUAACUGGGUAUAUUAUUGGAGCAGUUCAUUCAAGAAUGUAUGUCAUUAAUGUGUGUUGAUGUGCA